rnacentral:rRNA from 1 species
UGACGUCAAGUCCUCAUGGCCUUAUGGACCAGGGCUACACACGUACUACAAUGGCCGAUACAAAGGGCAGCGACACUGCGAGGUGAAGCCAAUCCCGUAAAAUACGGUCUCAGUCCGGAUUGGAGUCUGCAACUCGACUCCAUGAAGUUGGAAUCGCUAGUAAUCGUGGAUCAGCAUGCCACGGUGAAUACGUUCCCGGGCCUU